GAUGAAGAACGCAGCGAAAUGCGAUAAGUAAUGUGAAUUGCAGAAUUCAGUGAAUCAUCGAAUCUUUGAACGCACAUUGCGCCCCCUGGUAUUCCGGGGGGCAUGCCUGUUCGAGCGUCAUUUCACCACUCAAGCCUCGCUUGGUAUUGGGCAACGCGGUCCGCCGCGUGCCUCAAAUCGACCGGCUGGGUCUUCUGUCCCCUAAGCGUUGUGGAAACUAUUCGCUAAAGGGUGUUCGGGAGGCUACGCCGUAAAACGACCCCAUUUCUAAGGUUGACCUCGGAUCAGGUAGGGAUACCCGCUGAACUUAAGCAUAUCAAUAAGCGGAGGA
rnacentral:misc_RNA from 1 species